UUUGUCCUACGGGGCGCAGCAGUGAGGAAUAUUGGUCAAUGGGCGGGAGCCUGAACCAGCCAAGCCGCGUGAAGGAAGAAGGCGCCAAGCGUCGUAAACUUCUUUUGUCGGGGAACAAAGGGCGCCACGUGUGGCGUUGUGAGUGUACCCGAAGAAAAAGCAUCGGCUAACUCCGUGCCAGCAGCCGCGGUAAUACGGAGGAUGCGAGCGUUAUCCGGAUUUAUUGGGUUUAAAGGGGGCGUAGGUGGUUAAUUAAGUCAGCGGUGAAAGUUUGUGGCUCAACCAUAAAAUUGCCGUUGAAACUG
rnacentral:rRNA from 1 species